GAUUACCGGGAAUGAUGUUCUCCCGAGGGAAACCUGAACCGCUUGUAAAAGCUGAUGACGUCUG
rnacentral:ncRNA from 1 species